UACGUAGGGGGCAAGCGUUGUCCGGAUUUAUUGGGCGUAAAGAGCGUGUAGGCGGUUUGGUAGGUCCGUUGUGAAAACUCGAGGCUCAACCUCGAGACGCCGGCGGAAACCAUCAGGCUAGAGUCCGGAAGAGGAGAGUGGAAUUCCUGGUGUAGCGGUGAAAUGCGCAGAUAUCAGGAGGAACACCAAUUGCGAAGGCAGCUCGCUGGGACGUUACUGACGCUGAGACGCGAAAGCGUGGGGAGCAAACAGG
rnacentral:rRNA from 1 species